GACGAACGCUGGCGGCGUGCUUAACACAUGCAAGUCGAGCGGCAAGGCCCUUUCGGGGGUACACGAGCGGCGAACGGGUGAGUAACACGUGGGUGACCUGCCCUCAGCUCUGGGAUAAGCCCGGGAAACUGGGUCUAAUACCGGAUAUGACUUCAUGACGCAUGUUGUGGAGUGGAAAGCCUUGUGCGGCUGAGGAUGGGCCCGCGGCCUAUCAGCUUGUUGGGGGGUGAU
rnacentral:rRNA from 1 species